rnacentral:rRNA from 1 species
UGCCCGUCGUCGUGUAACGCUCGUUGCGCGAAGAACUGGAGGAACAAGAUAUGUAACAAGGACUGCAAUAUCUGUUGCGACAAGUGUAACUGCGUCCCUUCUGGCACCAGCCAGGAGACCCGUAACGAAUGCCCCUGCUACGCCAACUUGGUCGACUCAAAGACCGGCAAGCUCAAGUGCCCGUAG